CAAUACUUUCCACUCCCAUCGUAAAGAUACUGCUUUGAACCCAUGUUCAGAAUAUCAACAGUUGAUACCUUUAUUUGUAGUAGCAGUAUGAGGACUGCAUGAUGACAGCAAGAUGCAGCGAAAUUGAGUCAUUCUUGUGUUGUAGAGCGUCUCAAUAAACUUCAGUAAUCGAGUGCUAAGAACGAAAUAAGUCUCAAAUACUCAAUUAGUAAAUCAACUAUAACACUGUAGCUGGUUCGCUUGCUCAAAAACAGGAAAUGCUAAUUAACGGCAAAAAUACGUUUUGUCGUCUCCAAGGGGAUGAGCCUUACUCCCCUCAAGCGAGGCAAGAAGUAUUUGAUCUCCAAAAAAAGUGUCGAUAAUUAAAGAUUCUCGAAUAUACAUGUCACUAGGGAUGUCAACGAGCUGGCUUGCGAGCCGAACGUGGGCAGCCCAGGCAAAGAAAAAUCUCGAGCUUUUUUAGCCUGAGCCGAGCUGACUUGCGCUUUUUCAGGGCCCAUCCAUGGCCGCCAGAGUAGAUGGGCUCAUUUGAUGUACCUACAUGUCACUGAACAAAUACUUCAUAACCGACAAAGGUAAGGUCAUUCUAUAUAGAGCCUGUCAUCAUUUCUUUCUCCAUAAGAAGCCGUCAAUAAGAGAAGAAUUUCAAAAUCCAUACUAGAUGCUAAAUAAGUUCUUCAACUAGUUAAUGUUAGAUGUAAUGGUGAGCACUCAACCCUUGAGAAAUGAACUGAUCACGUUCUCUUAUUCUUGUCAAAACCCGAGGAAGAAAUUUCGAAUAAGAACGAAAAGCGUUAGUGCAAUAGAAGCUAGAAAGACUAUAUGGAACUCAAAUCUUUCAUCCCAGUCUCGAAAUAGGCUGUGUGGAGCUGCACUUAUUGCUUUUGGGUUCUUUCUCCAGCUAGUCGCCCGUGUGGGAGGGGUCAAGUUGAUAUGGAUAUUCCCAUUUACUCACUACAUCAGUAUUAUGCGCAAGUAUACACAGAUUAUGAUGAUUAACUCGUGUAGAUAACAGAUGAAAAAAUUAAAGUAAACAAUUCAAACUCAAUUUCCAAAUGCAGAAUUCUCAAGUCAAUUGUAUUCACACAGUUUGCAACAAAAGAUAGAUAAUCAAUCUGCAGUCGAUACCUGUCUUAUAAGAAAAACUAAUAUUUCAUCUAAGAAUGUACAUUUGGCCAUAGGCCAAAAAUCUACAUCUUUUAAUAUAUGAAAUUCAGCUAACAUCCAUCCCAAAACAAAGACUAGAGAAACUUACAAAAUACUACUACCAUUACAGCUUAUCCUCCACCAACUGCAACAGCAUCUCAGUCAACCGUGCACAGAACUCCCCAUCACUGACCUUCAACAUAUCAGAUAACUGCAUCGAAAACCCAUGAUCCAUUAAGAUUCGGUGGCGUGGCUUUAUUUUUCGCUCCAAACUAUACGAGAAGUAUUGGGGAAACUUCUUUAUUCCCUCCAAAUCCCCAUUCAUUUCAUUCAAGAAAUACUCCAUUUUCCGCUUAUAAUUAUUCUCUACGCUAAAAGUCAACAGCCCUGGCGACCUCAAAACCAUUUUCCUAACCUCAUCAUACUCAAACCCUAAUUCCACUAAAUACUCAAUCUUUGGUAAUAUUGUAAACUCUAUACUAGAAACCAACAACAAUGUGGUUUGAGAGGUUAAUUUAUUCGGGCCAGUGAAACCCAAUUGUGUCAGGAACUCAAACGUAGGUUUUAAUUGAGAUUCCGGAUCCGAAACAAGAAGCCUGGGACACCGAAUUAUGGAUUUCCGUAUCUCAGGAAAUGGGAUUUCAACGGUAUUCAAUAAAAAAUCAAAAAUUGGGUAAAUAUAGGAGUGUGGGUCGGAGGUGAGGACUGAGGAGCGAGGGGUACAUAUCCAGGAUGCGGCCUAGGGCAGAGGCUUCCAGGCCCAUGGAGGAGAAGCAGUGAGUAACGGAGUACAGGAUCGAGAGUGGAGCAGAACGAAGAUUUGGGUUUUCAUUGAGGGCUUUUGUUGGAUUUAUAUUGAGGGACUGGAGGUAGAUAAGUUUCUGCCGGAAUUUAAGGCCCGAGUCGGUGGCUGUGGUGAAGGCCGUAGUGGCGGGAAGAGAAAGGUGGGAUUUUAGGGUAUUUUGGGGAUUUGGGGAUUUGCAUGGAAUGGGAAUUUGAAGGUUGAGGAUCCUAUCCGAAAUGGAAGCUCAACGGCUUUGGCGAAGUACAUAUUGUUAUGGAUUGGUAUUCGGUGCCGCUAUUUAC
rnacentral:lncRNA from 1 species